rnacentral:rRNA from 1 species
GGUCAAGCGAAUAAGUGCAUGUGGUGGAUGCCUUGGCGAUCACAGGCGAUGAAGGACGUAGUAGCUUGCGAAAAGCUGCGGGGAGCUGGCAAACGAGCUUUGAUCCGCAGAUGUCCGAAUGGGGAAACCCGGCCCGUAUGGGUCAUCCCUUGCUGAAUACAUAGGCAAGGGAGGCGAACGCAGUGAACUGAAACAUCUAAGUAGCUGCAGGAAAAGAAAUCAACCGAGAUUCCCAGAGUAGUGGCGAGCGAAAUGGGAACAGCCUUGUACUCUUUAGCAGUAUUGUUAGCGGAACGGAAUGGAAAGUCCGGCCAUAGUGGGUGAUAGCCCCGUACGCGAAAACAGUAUUGUGGAACUAGGUGUACGACAAGUAGGGCGGGACACGUGAAAUCCUGUCUGAAGAUGGGGGGACCAUCCUCCAAGGCUAAAUACUCGUGGUCGACCGAUAGUGAACCAGUACCGUGAGGGAAAGGCGAAAAGAACCCCGGGAGGGGAGUGAAAUAGAUCCUGAAACCGCANNNNNNNNNNNNNNNNNNNNNNNNNNNNNNNNNNNNNNNNNNNNNNNNNNNNNNNNNNNNNNNNNNNNNNNNNNNNNNNNNNNNNNNNNNNNNNNNNUCGACCGAUAGUGAACCAGUACCGUGAGGGAAAGGCGAAAAGAACCCCGGGAGGGGAGUGAAAUAGAUCCUGAAACCGCAUGCAUACAAACAGUCGGAGCCUGGAAACGGGUGACGGCGUACCUUUUGUAUAAUGGGUCAGCGACUUACAUUCAGUGGCAAGCUUAACCGAUUAGGGAAGGCGUAGCGAAAGCGAGUCCGAAUAGGGCGUUCAGUCGCUGGGUGUAGACCCGAAACCAAGUGAUCUAUCCAUGGCCAGGUUGAAGGUGCGGUAACACGUACUGGAGGACCGAACCCACUAACGUUGAAAAGUUAGGGGAUGAGCUGUGGAUAGGGGUGAAAGGCUAAACAAACUUGGAAAUAGCUGGUUCUCUCCGAAAACUAUUUAGGUAGUGCCUCGUGUCUCACCUUCGGGGGUAGAGCACUGUCAUGGUUGGGGGGUCUAUUGCUGAUUACCCCGCCAUAGCAAACUCCGAAUACCGAAGAGUGCAAUCACGGGAGACAGACAUCGGGUGCUAACGUCCGGUGUCAAGAGGGAAACAACCCAGACCGCCAGCUAAGGUCCCUAAGAUUGGCUAAGUGGGAAACGAAGUGGGAAGGCUAAAACAGUCAGGAGGUUGGCUUAGAAGCAGCCACCCUUUAAAGAAAGCGUAAUAGCUCACUGAUCGAGUCGUCCUGCGCGGAAGAUGUAACGGGGCUAAGCCAGUCACCGAAGCUGCGGAUGCACGUAAGUGCAUGGUAGGAGAGCGUUCUGUAAGCCUGUGAAGGUGUCUUGUAAAGGAUGCUGGAGGUAUCAGAAGUGCGAAUGCUGACAUGAGUAGCGAUAAAGGGGGUGAAAGGCCCCCUCGCCGUAAGCCCAAGGUUUCCUACGCAACGUUCAUCGGCGUAGGGUGAGUCGGCCCCUAAGGCGAGGCAGAGAUGCGUAGCUGAUGGGAAGCAGGUUAAUAUUCCUGCACCGUCGUAUGAUGCGAUGGGGGGACGGAUCGCGGAAGGUUGUCCGGGUGUUGGAAGUCCCGGUCCCUACAUUGGAGAUGGCACUUAGGCAAAUCCGGGUGCGUGAUUCAAGGGUGUGGGGCGAGCGACGUUAGGUCGCGAAGCAAUUGGAAGUGGUUCCAAGAAAAGCCUCUAAGCUUCAGUCAUACGAGACCGUACCGCAAACCGACACAGGUGGGCGAGAUGAGUAUUCUAAGGCGCUUGAGAGAACUCGGGAGAAGGAACUCGGCAAAUUGGUACCGUAACUUCGGGAUAAGGUACGCCCUUGUAGUUUGACUGGCUCGCGCCAGAAGGAUGAAGGGGUUGCAAUAAAAUGGUGGCUGCGACUGUUUAAUAAAAACACAGCACUCUGCAAACACGAAAGUGGACGUAUAGGGUGUGACGCCUGCCCGGUGCCGGAAGAUUAAAUGAUGGGGUGCAAGCUCUUGAUUGAAGUCCCGGUAAACGGCGGCCGUAACUAUAACGGUCCUAAGGUAGCGAAAUUCCUUGUCGGGUAAGUUCCGACCUGCACGAAUGGCGUAACGAUGGCCACACUGUCUCCUCCCGAGACUCAGCGAAGUUGAAGUGUUUGUGAUGAUGCAAUCUCCCCGCGGCUAGACGGAAAGACCCCAUGAACCUUUACUGUAGCUUUGCAUUGGACUUUGAACCGAUCUGUGUAGGAUAGGUGGGAGGCUUUGAAACCGGGACGCUAGUUUCGGUGGAGCCGACCUUGAAAUACCACCCUGGUUUGUUUGAGGUUCUAACCUUGGCCCGUGAAUCCGGGUCGGGGACAGUGCAUGGUAGGCAGUUUGACUGGGGCGGUCUCCUCCCAAAGUGUAACGGAGGAGUUCGAAGGUACGCUUGGUACGGUCGGACAUCGUACCUAAAGUGCAAUGGCAAAAGCGUGCUUAACUGCGAGACCGACAAGUCGAGCAGGUGCGAAAGCAGGACAUAGUGAUCCGGUGGUUCUGUAUGGAAGGGCCAUCGCUCAACGGAUAAAAGGUACUCUGGGGAUAACAGGCUGAUACCGCCCAAGAGUUCAUAUCGACGGCGGUGUUUGGCACCUCGAUGUCGGCUCAUCUCAUCCUGGGGCUGUAGCCGGUCCCAAGGGUAUGGCUGUUCGCCAUUUAAAGAGGUACGUGAGCUGGGUUUAAAACGUCGUGAGACAGUUUGGUCCCUAUCUGCCGUGGGCGUUGGAAUCUUGACGGGGGCUGCUCCUAGUACGAGAGGACCGGAGUGGACGUACCGCUGGUGUACCUGUUGUCUCGCCAGAGGCAUCGCAGGGUAGCUAUGUACGGAAGAGAUAACCGCUGAAAGCAUCUAAGCGGGAAACUCGCCUGAAGAUGAGGAUUCCCUGGAGACUUGAUCUCCCUGAAGGGUCGUUCGAGACCAGGACGUUGAUAGGCUGGGUGUGGAAGCGCAGUAAUGCGUUCAGCUAACCAGUACUAAUUGCCCGUGCGGCUUGAUCCU